rnacentral:rRNA from 1 species
GUCUCUUCGGAGGCCAGCGGCGGACGGGUGAGGAACACGUGGGUAAUCUGCCUUUCAGGCCGGAAUAACGCCCGGAAACGGGCGCUAAUGCCGGAUACGCCCGCGAGGAGGCAUCUUCUUGCGGGGGAAGGCCCAAUUGGGCCGCUGAGAGAGGAGCCCGCGGCGCAUUAGCUGGUUGGCGGGGUAACGGCCCACCAAGGCGACGAUGCGUAGCCGACCUGAGAGGGUGACCGGCCACACUGGGACUGAGACACGGCCCAGACUCCUACGGGAGGCAGCAGUAGGGAAUCUUCCGCAAUGGGCGCAAGCCUGACGGAGCAACGCCGCGUGAGCGAAGAAGGCCUUCGGGUUGUAAAGCUCUGUUGCUCGGGGAGAGCGGCAUGGGGGAUGGAAAGCCCCAUGCGAGACGGUACCGAGUGAGGAAGCCCCGGCUAACUACGUGCCAGCAGCCGCGGUAAAACGUAGGGGGCGAGCGUUGUCCGGAAUCACUGGGCGUAAAGGGUGCGUAGGCGGUCGAGCAAGUCUGGAGUGAAAGUCCAUGGCUCAACCAUGGGAUGGCUUUGGAAACUGCUUGACUUGAGUGCUGGAGAGGCAAGGGGAAUUCCACGUGUAGCGGUGAAAUGCGUAGAGAU